CACCCCAGCUAGCAAAAUAUUUAAUUAUACAAUAUUUAAAUUAGUUAAUUAAAUAAAUGUAACCCCUGAGGGUUAAAAAAUAAAUAAAAGUUAAUCGUCAGGGGUUAAAAAAAUUAGAUCACAGUAUAAUACUGUGAUCUGUAUUUUGAUCACUGUAGGCAGUGAUCGACUGGCAGGGAAGGGGUUAAUUUUUAUUUGGACUGGGUAAAGGGUUAAUUUUUUUUGUUUUACUUAAACGUUAUUAAAACUUUUUUAACUUAAUUUUUUUACUUUUUAAAGCUUAUUUUAAAACUUUUUUUAACGUUAACCCCUAGUUAGCCUAACACUAAAUCCCCCAAUUCCCAACUAACUUCCACCCUCCCCAGCUAGCUAAAUUUAUAAUUUUAAAAUAUUUAAAUUAAUUAAUAAAAUAAAUUUAACCCCUGAGGUUUAAAAAAAAAAAAUUAACCCUCAGGGGUUAAAAAAAAAUCCGAUCAUAGUAAAAUGUAAUCCCUGCCAAUUGAUCACUGUAGUCAGUGAUCAAUUGUCAGGGAAGGGGUUAAUUUUUUAUUGAAAGGGGUAAAGGGGGGUGGGAUUUUAAACUAACUUUAUUUUUUUUAACAGGGGGCAGGAUCACUGAUGAUCCAUCUCCCUGCACUUCACAGUGAACCCGGAAGUGCAGGGAGGCGGAGGUGAGUAUACUGAGCACAUGUGCUCAGUCUGACAUGCUGUCAGAGCAGGCACAUGUGCUGGGGCAGCACUAUCGGGUGCUCCCGGUCUGCCUCUAAUACAGAGGCAGACUGGAGCACCAUUAACCCCGCGAUUGCGGCGAUCUGGGGUUCAUUUUAACGGGUGACUCGUCGUUAAGGGUUUCCCAUGACUGACGGACCUCGUCUGUCACUCGUCGUUAAGGGGUUAAUGACCAGUGCUGUUUUAACACGUUUGUGGUGUUUGUGUUUAGCUGUAAUUUUCAAGUUAUAUAUUGUUUUUUGUUUUUUUUUGCUUUCUUUACAUACCGUUAUUUGUAUCAUGUCAUAUAUUUUACUUAAAAUAAAAAUAAGAUAUGGCGAAAAAUUUAAAUAAAAAACAUGUUUUGGGAUUUUACUUGAAAAAUAUUUUACUUAUCUACAAAAGCUAAUUAAAUAACUGCUACAUAGAUUCUAAAUGUUGUCCCGAGUUUAAAAACACCCAGUGUUUACAUGCUUUUUUUUUUGUGCAAGUUAUAGUUUGUGACUAAGUGACUACUAAAAAUGGUUGAAAA